GAAUCGCCAAUGUAAGCGAUUCGAGCACUUUAUAGCAGUCUUUUUUCAGGUUCCCCACUAAAGAUGAAAGCAUGAAAAAGGCUGGA